UUUUGAUAAGCUCGUCUCCUCACCCCCUUUCUGUCCAUGCAGCACAGAGCAGCGAAACCCCUUUGCCUAUAAUUCUUAUUAAGGUGAUACCUUUUCUGAAUAAGAAAGUACACACUUCCAAAGCUGGCACUCUCUGGGGUUUUUAAGGGACAUUGUUUUUAUUGGUUCCCUUUUAUUUCUUCCACCCCACUGUGUUUUAAUGCUAUAGUGACUUCUGUGUAUACAACUCUCAUAUUGAAAUGUCGGCUGCAGAUAUAUGCAAUAUUAAAGAGCGCUUAUGAAUUUUUGACAUCUAAUUAGUCGCUACCCUGUUAACAUGUCAGGACUCAGAGGGAUUAGGGAGGCAGCCCUUUCUGAAUAAGUUACAGUGAGGCUCCUGUCCUUUUCAUGUAUUAUUCUUUAAUGUAGGUGGUGAUUAUUUGGCUGUGAUUAAUUGAUGAAGCCCAUUGGUCUGGCAAGUGGUGCCGAAUUCACCAUUCCUCACUUUUAUUUCUCUCAGUAGGGUUCUGCCACUUAAUCGGAAGGACCUGCUUCCUUCCAGGCAAUCUCUCUGUGCAGCGUUCUGGGGCAGAGGGACUGUUCUGGGUGACCCACCUAGACCCUUUCACAGCUCUUGGCUCCCUGGUCAGCAGUGGGUUUUGCAUCCUGUCUUCUUGGACAAGCCCUGUGCCCUGUGCCCCCUGGCCAGGCAUGUCUGAAAUGCAGUGGCACCCCCUAUACAAAGGCUUCCUGUUGCUCCCCUUUUCUCUCAUAUCUGAUUUUCGAGCCUUGCUUUCUGGUACCUUUAACACCUGUAGCUCCCUGCCUGGCUCAGUUUACUUCUGGGUUCAGCUGCCUGCCAAGACGCCAGGUGACAAUCGGGGCUCUCCAAGGCCGCUCCUGCCAUUGUCUCCAGCUGUGGGGCCCAAGAAACCACACACGUGAGAUGCACAGUCUGAUAUGGCCGGCUCUGCCCCUCUGGGUUUUAUAUCUUUUCAAAGUGAUUCAUUGAAAGCUGUGGCUGUUGUCAGCUGGGUGCUGGGAGCACUGAACAAAUUCCCUGCCUAGGUUGUGUAGACAACGUGGGGAAUGGGAGACCCUUGGGAUCCUGAUGGUCUCGCCAGGCCUACUGAGACAAGUGUCCAGUGCCAUCGGACCUGUGCUCAUGCAGUUACUUACUACCAUGUGAAUCUGACCAUCAAAAUUCUUCCUACAUUUCAAUUCCCCCAACUCUAAAAUGAGGAGGUUGGGCUUGAUACCAUCUCAGAACUCUUCCAGCUAUAAACUGCAAACCAAUCAGGUAUUAAUUAAUUCAUUCAUCCACUCUUUACAAGAUGCACCCUGAUCUGCAGAAGACAUUCCUGUGUAUAACAGAGUCAUCAUAUUCUUGGGUUUGAUUUGUUCUUUUUUAAAAUAUGGAAUUUUUGUUUAAUUCCAAAUGGUUUUCUUUAUUCUUUUUGUUGUUGUACAAUUUACCCUCAACCAAAGAAAGAAUAACGAUAAUUUGGAGAGUUAAACUUAUUUCAUAGCUUUAAAUAGGUGUGUGAUUUCCACAGUGACUGACGUCUUACCUGUAUUUUGAGAUAUUUGGAAAUCUUUACCUGUUUCCCCAGUGGUCAUGGACAGCCUUGGGCUUGACUUGGUUUAGAUUCUCAGACACUGUGGUUUGGACUGGGCUGGGGCUGGGCCCAGCCUCUCAAGGCUUUGAUUAAUCCACUGCACCUCUCAUUUUCCUGACUAUAAAAGAGAAGCUACAGUUCUGAAUAAGCAUCUUGCAGAAGAAAGAAGCCAAAGCAGAAAGUAUUAAACUUUCAUCCAGCACCAUAGGAGAGAUGUAGUUAUUAAAUUUCAGCUGCUUAUCAAACUGAUAUGAAAGUCAUUUUGCAUGAUUGCUUUGCAUCCUCAAAUCUUCUGCUUUUAUUUGCAAUGCAUCUCCGUGCUUUCUUAUUAGAAAAAUACUCAAAGGAUAAAAAAGCUGAUAAUAUUAUUCGGUUUUGACAAUUAGGUAGAAAAAGCAUUCAAAGAAGUGCUUUUUUAUUGCAGCUGGUAAUACUAUUGGAGGUCCUCCUGAUAGCAGUCUAUACUGAUGCUACCCAAGGUGACACUGGUUUUAUCUUUUAAUUGCCGUGUACUGGUUAUACUGGAUCUGGGCAAGGGAGGCUAUUUCUAAUCUUUGCAUUGGGACAUAGGACUCUAGCUUAUAUGACAGGUUCAGCUUAUCCUGAACCUCUUGCAUUUGCUCACUCUUGACUUUAUGUUGUGUCCACUGCUCUCACUUGUAUUGGGCCUAGGAUGAGGACUUUUGCUGACUAUUCAACACACCUUUGUUGAAUAUUUACUGUGUGUUGGGAAAUGCCUUAAGACCCAGAGAUGUAGCUUCAAGCCAUAGACCACCUACAAUUG
rnacentral:lncRNA from 10 species